AGAGAUGGCCACACCACCCUGAAAGUGCCCAAUCUCAUCGGAUCUUGGAAGCUAAGCAGGGUCAGGCCUGGUUAGAACUUGGAUGGGAAAAAGAGAUUGGGUUGGGAGUUGGGAGAAUAUCUUGA
ensembl:rRNA 5S_rRNA 5S ribosomal RNA